GUGAGGAAUUUUCCGCAAUGGGCGAAAGCCUGACGGAGCAAUGCCGCGUGAAGGAUGAAGGCCUAUGGGUUGUAAACUUCUUUUCUCAGAAAAGAAUUAUGACGGUAUCUGAGGAAUAAGCAUCGGCUAACUCUGUGCCAGCAGCCGCGGUAAGACAGAGGAUGCAAGCGUUAUCCAGAAUGAUUGGGCGUAAAGCGUCUGUAGGUUGUUUAAAAAGUAUUCUGUCAAAGAUUAGGGCUUAACCCUAGAUAGGCAGAAUAAACUUUUAAGCUAGAGUUUGGUAGAGGCAGAGGGAAUUCCCGGUGGAGCGGUGAAAUGCGUAGAUAUCGGGAGGAACACCAAAGGCGAAGGCACUCUGCUGGGCCAAUACUAACACUGAGAGACGAAAGCGAGGGGAGCAAAUGGGAUUAGAUACCCCGGUAGUCC
rnacentral:rRNA from 1 species